rnacentral:rRNA from 1 species
CUCGUAGGCGGUUCAGCAAGUCGGCUGUGAAAUUCCGAGGCUCAACCUCGGAACUGCAGUCGAUACUGCUGUGACUCGAGUCCGGUAGAGGAGAAUGGAAUUCCCGGUGUAGCGGUGAAAUGCGCAGAUAUCGGGAGGAACACCAGUAGCGAAGGCGGUUCUCUGGGCCGGUACUGACGCUGAGGAGCGAAAGCGUGGGAGCAAACA